AUGGGCUGGCUAGUGAAGAUUAUAGCACAUAAGCACCUUCCUCAUUUUGCAGGCUGCCUAAUGGUAAUGAGACAGAAUGGAAAGAAACCCACUAUGGAAUCAGACAGACUUAGAAUAAAGUCAAUGUUUCACUAUUUCCACUACUUCUUGGCUCUACGGACAAGCAGCACCCAUCUUAGAAGGGCUCUGAGGUACUCUCUUCCACUGGUCCCAUGCUGAUAGACUGGAAUUGAAGCCAAGAUCCAAAGGCAGAAACUCCGUCAGAGGUUGGCGUUUUGCCUGUGACUUGGUGGGCCUGCUCAAUAUCCUUUGAGGGAAAACAGAUUUCAACUACAUCAAACACAGUGAAGAAGGAAGUUCAGAAAACGGUAUUCUUGGUUUGGUAAAAAUCCAUGAGCACUGGUUUUGUCCAUAAAUGGGUUGAAAGCAAUGAAGAGCUGGAACAUUCACUAGUCCUGUAGGCAUUUUCAAUCUUUCUUGUUGAAAACCACUAAUGGAGAUGAAGGAUGAGGACAAACAUAAUGUACCUAUAUAAGCAUCUCUCAGGUUGCCUCACAGAUAAAUGUUAUAAUCCCUGGAUUUUUGUCAAACCUUUUUCUCCUCUCACGUUUAUGUUAAGUGUGGUUUCGUAAAUCAUGAGAACUAUGUAAAUGAAACGCUGCAGCUCUAGGCCGGCUUGAGUCUUCUCUCUUGGCACUUAACACAUUAAAACGUAUGUUUUCAUUAUAUUGUGAUGGAGAGAGAGAAGCGGGUUUGUUGAGUUUUACAUUACAAAGCUGAUAUGCCAUCUUAUCCUUUCUGUAUUAAUUAAUAUGGGAGAAUAAUUUUUUCUAGACAUUAUAUGCCCAUUGGAUGUCAUUUUCAAUGGCUUUGCUUUUUUUUUUUUUUUUGGUGGGGUGAGGAAGAUUGGCCCUGAGCUAACAUCUGUGCCAAUUUUCCUCUAUUUUGUAUGUGGGACACCUCCACAGCAUGCCUUGAUAAGCAGUGUGUAGGUCCACACUUGGGAUCUGAAGCUGCGAACCCCAGGCUGCUGAAGCAGAGUACGCAAACUUAACCACUAUAUCACUGGGCUAGCCCCAAAGGCUUGGCUUUUUU
rnacentral:lncRNA from 1 species